rnacentral:rRNA from 1 species
GAUGAACGCUGGCGGCGUGCCUAAUACAUGCAAGUCGAGCGAACAGACGAGGAGCUUGCUCCUCUGACGUUAGCGGCGGACGGGUGAGUAACACGUGGAUAACCUACCUAUAAGACUGGGAUAACUUCGGGAAACCGGAGCUAAUACCGGAUAAUAUAUUGAACCGCAUGGUUCAAUAGUGAAAGACGGUUUUGCUGUCACUUAUAGAUGGAUCCGCGCCGCAUUAGCUAGUUGGUAAGGUAACGGCUUACCAAGGCAACGAUGCGUAGCCGACCUGAGAGGGUGAGCGGCCACACUGGAACUGAGACACGGUCCAGACUCCUACGGGAGGCAGCAGUAGGGAAUCUUCCGCAAAGGGCGAAAGCCUGACGGAGCAACGCCGCGUGAGUGAUGAAGGUCUUCGGAUCGUAAAACUCUGUUAUUAGGGAAGAACAAGUGUGUAAGUAACUAUGCACGUCUUGACGGUACCUAAUCAGAAAGCCACGGCUAACUACGUG